GGGGCAAGCGUUGUCCGGAUUUAUUGGGCGUAAAGAGCGUGUAGGCGGCCAGACAGGUCCGUUGUGAAAACUCGAGGCUCAACCUCGAGACGUCGAUGGAAACCGUCUGGCUAGAGUCCGGAAGAGGAGAGUGGAAUUCCUGGUGUAGCGGUGAAAUGCGCAGAUAUCAGGAAGAACACCCGUGGCGAAGGCGGCUCUCUGGGACGGUACUGACGCUGAGACGCGAAAGCGUGGGGAGCGAACAGGAUUAGAUACCCUGGUAGUCCACGCCGUAAACGAUGGGUGCUAGGUGUGGGCGGUGUCGACUCCGUCCGUGCCGAAGCUAACGCAUUAAGCACCCCGCCUGGGGAGUACGGCCGCAAGGCUA
rnacentral:rRNA from 1 species